rfam:Ovis aries breed Texel chromosome 12, whole genome shotgun sequence.
UCCCUGGUGGCUUGGUGGUAAAGAAUCUGCUUGCCAAUGCAGGAGACACAGGUUGGAUCCCUGAUCUGGGAA